CCUACGGGAGGCUGCAGUGAGGAAUAUUGGUCAAUGGACGAGAGUCUGAACCAGCCAAGCCGCGUGAAGGAUGACUGCCCUAUGGGUUGUAAACUUCUUUUAUAUGGGAAUAAAACGUUCCACGUGUGGGAUUUUGUAUGUACCAUAUGAAGAAGGAUCGGCUAACUCCGUGCCAGCAGCCGCGGUAAUACGGAGGAUCCGAGCGUUAUCCGGAUUUAUUGGGGUUAAAGGGAGCGUAGGUGGAUUGUUAAGUCAGUUGUGAAAGUUUGCGGCUAAACCGUAAAAUUGCAGUUGAAACUGGCAGUCUUGAGUACAGUAGAGGUGGGCGGAAUUCGUGGUGUAGCGGUGAAAUGCUUAGAUAUCACGAAGAACUCCGAUUGCGAAGGCAGUUCACUGGACUGCAACUGACACUGAGGCUCGAAAGUGUGGGUAUCAAACAGGAUUAGAUACCCGAGUAGUC
rnacentral:rRNA from 1 species